AGUGAACGCUGGCGGUAGGCCUAACACAUGCAAGUCGAACGGCAGCACAGUAAGAGCUUGCUCUUACGGGUGGCGAGUGGCGGACGGGUGAGGAAUACAUCGGAAUCUACUUUUUCGUGGGGGAUAACGUAGGGAAACUUACGCUAAUACCGCAUACGACCUACGGGUGAAAGCAGGGGAUCUUCGGACCUUGUGCGAUUGAAUGAGCCGAUGUCGGAUUAGCUAGUUGGCGGGGUAAAGGCCCACCAAGGCGACGAUCCGUAGCUGGUCUGAGAGGAUGAUCAGCCACACUGGAACAGAGACACGGUCCAGACUCCUACGGAAGGGAGCAGUGGGGAAUAUUGGGCAAUGGGCGCAAGCCUGAUCCAGCCAUACCGCGUGGGUGAAGAAGGCCUUCGGGUUGUAAAGCCCUUUUGUUGGGAAAGAAAAGCAGCAGGUUAAUACCCCGCUGUUCUGACGGUACCCAAAGAAUAAGCACCGGCUAACUUCGUG
rnacentral:rRNA from 1 species